rnacentral:rRNA from 1 species
AUUGAACGCUGGCGGCAGGCCUAACACAUGCAAGUCGAACGAGUGGCGGCCGGGUGAGUAAUGUCUGGGAACCUGCCUGAUGGAGGGGGAUAACUACUGGACACGGUCGCUAAUACCGCAUACCAUCAGAUGUGCCCAGAUGGGAUUAGCUAGUUGGUGGGGUAACGGAGCACCAAGGCGACGAUCCCUAGCUGGUCUGAGAGGAUGACCGGGAACACUGGAACAGAGAAACGGUCAGGACUCCUAGGGGAGGAAGCAGUGGGGAAUAUUGCACAAUGAGCGCUGGCCUGAUGGGUCCAUGCCGAGUUUAUGAAGAAGGCCUUCGGGUUGUAGAGUACUUUCAACGGGGAGGCGUUACCCGCAGAAGAAGGACCGGCUAACUCCGUGCCAGCAGCCGCGGUAAUUC